AUACGUAGGGGGCGAGCGUUGUCCGGAAUGAUUGGGCGUAAAGGGCGCGUAGGCGGCCCGGUAAGUCUGGAGUGAAAGUCCUGCUUUUAAGGUGGGAAUUGCUUUGGAUACUGUCGGGCUUGAGUGCAGGAGAGGUAAGUGGAAUUCCCAGUGUAGCGGGGAAAUGCGUAGAGAUUGGGAGGAACACCAGUGGCGAAGGCGACUUACUGGACUGUAACUGACGCUGAGGCGCGAAAGUGUGGGGAGCAAACAGGAUUAGAUACCCUGGUAGUCCACACUGUAAACGAUGAAUGCUAGGUGUAGGGGGUAUCGACCCCUUCUGUGCCGCAGUUAACACAAUAAGCAUUCCGCCUGGGGAGUACGGCCGCAAGGUUGAAACUCAAAUGAAUUGACGGGG
rnacentral:rRNA from 1 species